CAGUUAGCCUAGUGGUUAAGGCUACGGAUCGCCAAUCCGGAGACGGCGGGUUGGAUUCCCGUUCUG
rnacentral:tRNA from 1 species